rnacentral:rRNA from 1 species
GACGAACGCUGGCGGCGUGCUUAACACAUGCAAGUCGAACGGAAAGGCCCUGCUUUUGUGGGGUGCUCGAGUGGCGAACGGGUGAGUAACACGUGAGUAACCUGCCCUUGACUUUGGGAUAACUUCAGGAAACUGGGGCUAAUACCGGAUAGGAGCUCCUGCUGCAUGGUGGGGGUUGGAAAGUUUCGGCCGUUGGGGAUGGACUCGCGGCUUAUCAGCUUGUUGGUGGGGUAGUGGCUUACCAAGGCUUUGACGGGUAGCCGGCCUGAGAGGGUUACCGGCCACAUUGGGACUGCGAUACGGCCCAGACUCCUACGGGAGGCAGCAGUGGGGAAUAUUGCACAAUGGGCGGAAGCCUGAUGCAGCAACGCCGCGUGCGGGAUGACGGCCUUCGGGUUGUAAACCGCUUUCGCCUGUGACGAAGCGUGAGUGACGGUAAUGGGUAAAGAAGCACCGGCUAACUACGUG